CCUACGGGUGGCAGCAGUGAGGAAUAUUGGUCAAUGGGCGCGAGCCUGAACCAGCCAAGCAGCGUGAAGUAUGACUGCCUUACGGUUUUUAAACUCUUUUUUUAAAGGAAUAUAUUGAGGCAUGUGUGCCUUUUUGUAUGUCCUUUAUGAAUAAGGCUGCGCCAACUCCGUGCCAGCAGCCGCGGUAAUACGGAGGACCAGAGCGUUAUCCGGAUUUAUUGGGGUUAAAGGGAGCGUAGAGGGGUCGUUAAGUUAGUUGUGAAAGUUUGCGGCUGAACCGUAAAAUUGCAAUUGAUACUGGCAGUCUGGAGUGCAGUUGAGGUAGGCGGAAUUCGUGGUGUAGCGGUGAAAUGCGUAGAUAUCACGAAGAACUCCGAUUGCGAAGGCAGCUUACUAAAAUGCCACUGACAUUGAUGCUCGAAAGUGUGGGUAGCAAACAGGAUUAGAUACCCUAGUAGUC
rnacentral:rRNA from 1 species